GUCUACAGCCAUACAACCCUGAACAAGCCUGAUGUCUGAUCUCGGAAGCUAAGCAGGGUCGGACCUGGUUAGUACUUGGAUGGGAGACCACCUAGGAAGACCAAGUGCUGUAGGCA
rnacentral:rRNA from 1 species